rnacentral:lncRNA from 1 species
CAUCUGAACUCUUCAUAUACCAUUUGUUUUUCUAGAUGACUUUAAUAGCUUCACAGAGCUUUAUCAGCAUGAAGACUUGCAGCUACGUCUUUGAACUUUCACUUCUCUCCUCAUGGUUCCUUGCUGUCCUGGUUGGUUCCUGCUGUCCUCCUAACAUCUCAUCACAUCUGUUUCAUCCUCUUCACCCUCACAUCUCUACAUCCUGACUGACUCCACUUAGGCAGAUCGGCACUCAUCCCCUCUGAUCCAUGUCUCCCAACAUCAAUCCAAGCAUUCCUCAUCUUCUCCUGAGACCUCAGGAAGGGCUGGAUACAUGACAUCAUACUGAUGUCAGGAUUGUAUGACUAUCAGUUGAGGUCAUCUGUAAAUAUUGACAUAUUAGCGCUAUGAAGACAUGUAUUAGAUCAGUAGUUCUCUGCUGGUUUUGUUUCAAGUCCUAGCUUUUACAUUGGACAUUGGUAGAUCUAGUUUAUAUUUGCAUUUAGUGACCCUAUUAGUGACGCAAGAGAAAAAGAGAGAAAAAACAACUAGAUGUAGCACAGAAUGGAAAAAAUGCAGGUAUCUCAGAAUACAUUUUCAUAAGCUGAACAUCAUAAAAACAGCAUUCAUGACAUCAAACAAUCACAAUGUCCCAAAUUUCCACCUAGUGCAUGUUAAAUGGUUAGUUCACUCAAAAAUAAAAAUUCUGUUAUCAUUUACUCACCUUUAUAUUGUUACAAACUUGCAUUUCCUGUAGAUGUUCAUGACAGAAGAUAUUUUAAAGAAUGUUUGUAUCCACUUCACAGAUGUAAUGGUUUUUAUAGUGCACAAAAAUAAAUGUCUAUACCCUUUUCCCUAUACCUACCCCUAACAGGUCAUCUGUAAAUAUUGACAUAUUAGCGCUAUGAAGACAUGUAUUAGAUCAGUAGUUCUCUGCUGGUUUUGUUUCAAGUCCUAGCUUUUACAUUGGACAUUGGUAGAUCUAGUUUAUAUUUGCAUUUAGUGACCCUAUUAGUGACGCAAGAGAAAAAGAGAGAAAAACAACUAGAUGUAGCACAGAAUGGAAAAAAUGCAGGUAUCUCAGAAUACAUUUUCAUAAGCUGAACAUCAUAAAAACAGCAUUCAUGACAUCAAACAAUCACAAUGUCCCAAAUUUCCACCUAGUGCAUGUUAAAUGGUUAGUUCACUCAAAAAUAAAAAUUCUGUUAUCAUUUACUCACCUUUAUAUUGUUACAAACUUGCAUUUCCUGUAGAUGUUCAUGACAGAAGAUAUUUUAAAGAAUGUUUGUAUCCACUUCACAGAUGUAAUGGUUUUUAUAGUGCACAAAAAUAAAUGUCUAUACCCUUUUCCCUAUACCUACCCCUAACAACUUUUCUAUUUUUUUUUAUUUCUUUGUGUAUUAGUCAUUUCCUGUAGAUAGU